UGCAGGCUGGCAAACACGGUAGGGAGAGGUUAGUCUCCCCCAGCCUAACUUUUCCAGAACUCAGUAAAUGGCUCCUUCUCGCAACCAGACACCUGCAACAGCGACUUUCGGGUGCUAUUGGAACCACACCGGGUAGCCUAGCCGCCUCGCACAGCAGCCAAAACGUCGAGGAGUUAGCGGAGAUUCCUCUCGCCGUCUCCUGCAUCCAUCAGCAGGCGGGCAGACGCUGCCAUCAAUCAAAGGCAAAUUCAGCCGCUUCUCUCCAUCCGUCUCCGCCACACCCGAGCUGCCCGCUCUUCCCCAGUCGCCCCUAACUGCUGGCUCCUGGCUUCUCAAUUGCCCGUGCGCCCGCUCUCUCUUCAGCAGCCGACUGAGGGUGUGAAAUCUAUAAAUCAGAGGAAGUUACUCCCUGAUUAAACGGCCUUCUUUAACACUCAGGGUAACAUGCCAACUCCUCGCCCUGACCUCACACGCCCCAAACAUCCGUGCUACUGCCCGGACGCCAUUUUCUCCUGAUUCUGAAAGUGGCCCAGUUUACUCCGGCCUUUAGAUCAACCGUUUCCUCUACCUGGGCCACCACACUCCCUCCUCACACCUCUUCCAUGACUCCGUCAGUCCCCAUCUUCAUAUGCUCAGCUCUGCCUGCCUUACGAAAGCCGCCUCCUCCAGGAAGCCUUCUCUGAAUGCUCUAGUGCCCACCACACGGUGAACAUUUCAGUCAGGAGAAACUGGGAUAACAAGCUAAUGGCCUGACAAAUAAAUGACAGCGGCUAGUGGAUGAGCAAACAGACACGCGUCUGGAAGGCAAGGUCCACACGUGUGUGGAUGGGUGCCGGGCAGGAGAAGGACUGUGUCAGGUGACAGCUCUCAACUCCAGCCGACCUCUCUGUGUGUCUCACCCUGGCAGGGAUCGAAUGUCACCAGUCACCCCUGGCGAUGAUCGAAUGUCACCAGUCACGGCUUCCCUUCAC